CCAAUAGCGUAUAUUAAAGUUGUUGCAGUUAAAAAGCUCGUAGUUGAAUUUCGGGGUUAGUAGGUCGGUCAUGCCACUGGUAUGUACUGGUCUCACUGAUUCCUCCUUCCUGAUGAACCGUAAUGCCAUUAAUUUGGUGUUGCGGGGAGACUGGACUGUUACUUUGAAAAAAUUAGAGUGUUUAAAGCAGGCUAACGCUUGGAUACAUUAGCAUGGAAUAAUGAAAUAUGACGUUCGAUCCUAUUUUGUUGGUUUCUAGGAUUGACGUAAUGAUUAAUAGGGAUAGUUGGGGGCAUUAGUAUUCAAUUGUCAGAGGUGAAAUUCUUGGAUUUAUUGAAGACUAAAUACUGCGAAAGCAUUUGCCAAGGAUGUUUUCAUUAAUCAAGAACGAAAGUUAGGGGAUCGAAGACGAUCAGAUACCGUCGUAGUCUUAACCAUAAACUAUGCCGACUAGGGAUCGGAUGAUGUUAAUUUUUUAAUGACUCAUUCGGCGCCUUACG
rnacentral:rRNA from 1 species